CAUGCUUUGUAUCAUUUGAGUGUUGUUGUCAUUGAUUAUUACAUCCCUUCUUAUUUCAAAAUACGAAGGACCACGCAUAUAUGACAACUUUUCAGUCUUGCAUAUAUGGUAUAACAACGGUUGCUGCUGCAGGUUUCAGAUGGUGACCACAUUGAUAGAUUAAUAUCUUGCCUGCAUAUGGCUCUUCCAUUUUUUACGAGGGGUGCAUCAAGUAAUAGGUUUCUCAACUAUUUGAACAAGAAUAUUGUACCUGUUUUUGAUAAGGUUGAGAACCAUAGAUGAUUUAACUAAAGCUAUGGUGAAGAAAUUAAAUCAAGGAAUGACAGAGCACAACAAAGCGAUGGCAGCUGCUAAAACUGCAGGAUAGAACCGAGGAUUUUGAUGUCGAGCAAGGCACUAAUUCAAAUGAAUCCAAUGGGGAAAAGCACUUGGAAUCUAAGCUAAUUUGGCAUGGUAGAAAUUAGCAUAUAUGCUAAUUUUGGUUGUGGUACAUAUGUCCUUUUUGUU